rnacentral:rRNA from 1 species
GACGAACGCUGGCGGCGCGCCUAACACAUGCAAGUCGAACGGGACUAUACUGGAAGAAGUUUUCGGAUGGAUUUCGGUAUAGUUUAGUGGCGGACGGGUGAGUAACACGUGAGCAACCUGCCUUCGAGAGGGGAAUAACGGCUGGAAACGGUCGCUAAUACCGCAUAACAUACCGGGAGGACAUCCUGCUGGUAUCAAAGAUUUAUCGCUCGAAGAUGGGCUCGCGUCCGAUUAGGUAGUUGGUGAGGUAACGGCUCACCAAGCCGACGAUCGGUAGCCGGACUGAGAGGUUGAACGGCCACAUUGGGACUGAGACACGGCCCAG